rnacentral:tRNA from 2 species
AGGGGCGUCGCCAAGCGGUAAGGCACCAGGUUUUUGAUCCUGGCAUGCGUUGGUUCGAAUCCAGCCGCCCCUGCCA